CGCACCACUUUGUAAAGAUGAGCAUGUCAGGUGGGACUAGGACAGUCAAAACUGGGGAUGACGAGACAACACUGCUAUUCUUAGCUCUUUUGUUCAGUGUUGAGAGAAGAGUUGGGACCCUGCUAUCACCUCCACUACCACCCUGUAACCAGGCCACGAACGCCAGACUGCCAGCCACCAAAGUAGUUCUCAUUAUUACGAGAUGUGGAAGAUCAAACCCCCCAUCACGUACGCCUUGGAAGCAAAGUACAGGCCCUAUCUUGAGCUCUGGACCAAUUGGCAGAGGAGUUGCCAGGGAAGCUGUACUCAAGGGCCGAACUGUC